rnacentral:snRNA from 1 species
CAAUGUGAAGGCAAUUUAGCUCUGACAUCUGCCACUGUGUUGAUCACCAGGGUUGAUUUGGCUGAUUUGGCUGCUAGACAGGUGUCUCCUUCCUCCCUCAUUGCUCCAUGUGUAUCCCUCUGGAAGCUGCAUGCUAGGUGGAGGAGGAAUACCUUCUCCCAUAGAGGUUUUACCACUCUUUGGUCAAAGGUAUAUGAAUAAUUGCUCUCCCUUGCUAGAACAAGCUCCCAAGGUCCGAAUGUAUAUUUCUGGCCCCAGUUUUUUUUUCCUGAAUUGUACCCCCACAUCUUCAGCUGACAUCUCAAUCUGGAUAGUCUACUUCA